UUGAGGGGGCAGCGGGACUGAGGGGGAUGAGGGGCUGAAGGGGCAGCGGGAAUGAGGGGAAGAAGGGGAUCAGGGGAAUCAGAGGUUGAAGGGGCUGAGGGGGAUGAGAGCCAUGAGGGGCUGAGGGGGAUGAGAGACGGAAGGGAAUGAGGGGCAGCAGGGCCGAGGGGGAUGAGAGGCUCGAGGGUUUGAGGGGCUGAAGGGGCACCGGGAAUGAGGGAUGAGGGGCCGAGGGCCACGAGGGAGGGACGGGCUGGAGGUGCCUGCGGGGUGUGAAGCUCCUGAGGGCCAUGAGGGACCCUGGGGGCUGCAGCCGCCCACCCCAGCCCGGUGUGGGUGCUCAGCCAGCCCUGGAGGAGCCAGCCCCUCCGUGCAUCCAGCCCUGGCUGGUUUUACACCAAGCGCUGGGCAAUAGCAGGCCUAGUCACCUUCCUGUCCCCCUGUAAAAAUAUAUAAUGUUACUCUUUGAGGAGGAGGUGGUGUGGAGGUAACAUGGCAGGGGGGUCACCUGAGCACUUCCUAGACCAUUCCCAGGUCUUUCCAAUGCUAUUUCCAGGAGGUGCCAGCAUGUAUUCCAGUGUUCCAUUACCCAGCUGCAGUGUUUCUGUAAUUGCCUGUAGGUCUGAGACUUUUGGAGGAGCACUGAAGCUGUUCUGCUACGCAAAUGCUGAUGGAAUUAUUUUUUCAAUUAAAGAGUCUAUUAAACCAUACGUUUUCCAGUGGUAAAGUCCUGCCUGGCACAGCUAAGCAGUCCAAAGUAAAUGCACAGAAUGCACUACAACAGGGAAAUGCGGCUCCAGCCCAAACUCCUUGAUCACUCGAGCAGUUCGUGCAGCACUCCACUCUCCAAAGGAGAAAAGGUGACAUUACAGCUCCCAGACUGGCAAAAUUAACACCACGAGCAUUUCAUCCCAUGAAUCUUCCCCAGUGCGCUUCAUCUCCUGACAAAGCAAUUCUUCACAGCAAUUCUAAUGCUGCUUCUUACACUUUGUUCUUUGACUACUCCUAAUUUCUGACACUGAGUGAUGCUGCUGAAAUGAGAUGAUAAUUUGUUAUUGCUAGUGCCUGGCAGUGCCUGUGUUGCAAAGUUUUGUAAGAAAAGAAUAUUGCCAGGUGGGGGCCUAAUCAGAAAUAAUUUGGUGUGGCCAAAGCAAAAUUCUCCUGAGACUGUCUUGUGAGGCUGCUGGACAGCAUGGUCAAACCAUUUCACCCGUGCUGUAGUGCAAAGUUUCUUCAUUUUCUGUACUAAUAUGUAACAAGAAUUAAAAACAAGAUAUUCUGCAUUUUUCUGCUGUGUUUGUUCAGGAGACUUAGUAGUCAAAAUCCUGUCCCCUGACAGAACUUGGUAAGUGAACAGUUACUUUUUCAAAAUUGUUAACAAAGCCUAUUUUUCAGUAAUCACUGUAAUACUGCUCUUCUUUUGUCAGGUACACAAGUAGUGUUAUUUUUCCUUUUGCUGGCAGAAAAGGAGGAAUGAAGUGACCUGUUGAAGGCUGUGGUAACUGCUGGAGCAAACUACAAUACCAGUACUGAGUUGGCUAAAAAGUCAGAAAGAAGUUCAACGUGCAGUGUGUGAAAUAUUUUUGUCUAAAAAAUUUUUUUACCUAAGGAGACUGAUCCAGUUGAAGAUUGAGAGGGAAAUUCUACACAGGUGAAAGGGGUUUGUGUAAAAUAAAGUAGUUCAACAACAGAAACUAUGCAGAAGCCAAGCAGAAGGUUGGCCUUAACACGUGUCCCUGAUGCCACUGCACAGCAUGCACACAACACCCUGCACUCCAGGGAUAAACGGGAUCUGCCUGUUUGACCCCAGGAUUUCUGAGGAUCACCACAGGCAUCGUUCCAAGGAGCCCAUGAAAUCCUUCUCUGACUGCUCAGAUCCCAGGAGGAAAUGCCAGUCCCAUACCUACCAGAACCAGAGCAGUGAAAAUACCUCCUGAUGGCAGCUGGGAAUUUUCUUCACAUCUCAGAAAAGACCUGCUGCCUAAAAUGAAGAGAUAAGGCCAAGGACUUUUUUCCCCCUCCUUUGAAUUACAGAGUCCAGGAAUUUACCAGAACCUCCAAAAAUCGUAUCAGCAGUUUAAUUAGAGGUAUUAUCCAAUCUAGUUUUGUUUGGGUUUGGUGGCUCUUUCCCCCCUAACAUCUGUGCAUUUAUUCAGGUGAAGCCUGAAACCUGCAGCAUGCUGCAUAAUCACUGCGUAUAUCAAGCAAGAUGAUCCUUUGAAUGUUGCUGGAAUACUUUCCUGACCCUGAAACUGCUGACAAUUUCCACUGCAGAAGUGUGUGCAAAAAAAGGAUUUGUUGGGCUCCAACCCUCCAAACUGCACCAGUGGAAUUCCAACACCAGGUUCUUGCAGUUUCACUACUCUUGUCCCCCCCACCAAUCCUUACCUCAGAAUUUCUUACUUUUAGUCCAUGAUUCCCAAAAGCACUGGCCCCACUUGACCAAAUUUACCCUGGCACAAGGGUUCACUGAAGUAUUUACCUACAGCACAGUUAUACCACAGGGAAGAUUCCAGGCAGGGCAGGGGGUAGAGGUUAUCCAAACCACUUCCAAUCCCCAGCCCCAGCCACUGUGCAGCACUUUCACCGGGUAAAUAAUACAGCAGGAGUCAAAGGAAGUCAGGAGGAGAAGAGUCUGAGAGCAAUCUGUCACCGAAAUUUGAAUGAUUUAUUUAAUAACACUGUGAAAUAGCACACCUCAGCCUCUGCAGCUCAUCAGCGCCAGCUCCCCUGGUCUGUGCGCGGCACUGACAGCUCCUUACCAUAACAAUGGGAUCCACGGGCCAAACUCUCCGCCGGUGCAGCUCUGCUGAAGUCAGGGCGGCUGUGUGACAGAAUUCUUCCAGCCCAGCAAUCACUCUGCAUUAUCCGGCGCUGCAACACCUGAGGAAUGACAAACCCAGGUAAGCCCUGUGAGGCUCAGACUACAUCACGCUGAAAGGACGCGUUUCUCUUCCCAGGAAUUUUCACAGAAACGGCUAAAAUCUAGAAACAAAGCCAAAAUAAGAUGUAAAAUUAAACGGUGGAUCUCUGGAGCACGAUGUAUACAUUUGUACGUGAUUUUAGAGGCCAGAGAGGUGGUUAUCCUGCAUGUGAGACUAGUGGAAUGUGCCCCCGAGCACCAAUUCAAAGGAGACCCACCCAGCAGCAGCGAUCCCGAGCGCUGCUUUCCCAGCAUCGCUCUUUUGUCUGCCGUCCCGACACUUCACCCAAAUCCAGGUCACUUUCUGCUUAAUCCCUUUUCAUCCCAACUCUUGGUAACUUUUCCUCUCCCCUCACCUGCUCCGUCAAACAACGUGGCUGUGGGGAUAGGCGUAUUUCGCUCAUGUAAAAAUAUAUAUCCGUGUGUGUUUGCAACAACACUUACAAAUGUUGUCUGUCUGGUAAAUUAGCUUGGCUUUUUCAGGAAAAUGUUUACACACUGAGGUGGCUGAAAGCACCUUGGGAGACGACAGCUCGUUGUGGGUUUCCAGAAGCCGAGGAACAGCUGCUCUAUCCUGUUUUCUCAGCUGGGGAAUUGCUGGGGGAUGAUGGUGAGGCUGGUGUCACCCAUUUCCAGCUCCCACCUUCUUCCACCUCUGCCCCUGCUCCCUCCGCUGCCUUUCGCAGGUCAUUGGCUCCUUGCUGCUAUUUCCACCUACCUGCGGAAUGAGGAUGAGGAGGAUAAUGGGAGAGGUGUUUUGAAGAUCAAUUCAAUAGUACUUAAGGCCCUUUCAGACACUCAAGUGAGAGCAUGGGUGUAUAGAAAAUCAAAGUAUAAUUACUAUGAAAAUGUACAGUAUUGUUCAGAGUAAAAGGGAAGGGAAGGCAGGAUGAUGAGAUAAUCAGACCACUGCAACUGAAGAAUUUUGAGACAUGAUAGUAAGUAAAAGGAAACAUUUUUAAUUGAGCUUAGGGAGGGUUAUUUCCAGCAAGAAAUGUUAAUUUCCUUUUUUUUUUUUUUUAAUCUUAACCUUUGAGUUUGGGCAAGCCUCUGAGACCAUCAACCUUUAACCCAGCACCAAGUGUUCACCACUAAACCAGGUUCCCAGGUGCCACAAUUUUGCUAUCUGACCAAUAUUGGCAGUGUGGUGGGGAAUGGGAAGCUGUAAAAUGGUGUUUCAAGGCUCAAGCCUGUAACCAUAUUCACCAGUAAAUACAACAUUAACAAGUCUAGAUUUGGGUCCCUACUGCUGUGUUAUUACUGGUUAUAUUAUCAGAUAAAGGCUUACUAGGGAUAAUAUGAGUUUGUUGUAAUUGUGAGUCUUUUCUUAAGAAGCCUGUCAUCAAGAAGCACCUGAAGAUUUACCAUGCUUGAAUUUAUUAGAGAUGAUAGGUCCAAAGUGACCCACACUGCCCUCAAUUCCCUUGGUUCCUUCUGCUACUUCAGCAACCAGUGUUCCUUUUCAGAGGACAUGAUGGGGAGCACCUCCAGCUCAGUCCAGAAAAGGCUAAAGGUGUGGCAUUUAUAAAGCUCGCGUUGCCACAAAUCACACCAACUGUAACUGUUCUGUACGUGAUGUAAAGUCAGACAUAAAUGAGGUACAACACUCAGAGUGUGGAGCUCGUGCUACCCUACAUUUCAUUUGCUGAACUCUGUCUGCUUGUUUGGAUUCCACACUACCAUGAACAUUCCAGCACCAGCCCUCUUGCUGGGGUUUCUAUUUAUAGCAUUCUCUCUCUUCACUGGAUGCCCCUCCAUCUUACUUCCAAAGAGGCAUUAAUUAGGGUCUUAAAGCAGAAUUCAUAUAUCUUUAAUAAUUUAAUUUAGAUACAAAAUAUACUCAAUAUUCUUGCAAAAGACAAUAUUUUUUUAAUAACUCUAUGCUAUAUUGUGAAAUAGGAUGAAUUUCUAAAUGUUCCUCUUUCACAUUUUCUCCUGUUUUUCUCUUAUGUAUUUGGGGGCUAACAGCCACCAUCUCCGCAAAUUCCAGAUUUCACACAUGCACAUAUUUAGCCAUAAGGCAAUUCUGAACUUUCAAAAUUAAGCACACAGCUAUUCCCCGUAGGAUACAAGAUUUCUUUUGCAUUCUAAAUAAUUUCUGUCUUCAUAGCAGAACUACUUAGCUCUGUGUAGACUCAGACUUUGGCACUGAAUUGGAGAGACAGGUUUGAAGGAGGGACUCUUGGAUGGAUAAGGACCUGGCUGGAUGGCUGCAUCCAAAAAGUUACAGGAAAUCACUCAGCAUCCAAGUGGGAACCAGUAGCCAGUGUUAUAAUAACUUAAUAUCAGCACCUAAAAAGGAGCUGGAGAGGGACUUUGGGUGAGGACCUGGAGUGACAGGAGGGAGGGAAUAGCUUCCCACUGCUAAAGGAAGGGCUGGAUGGGAUGUUGGGAAUUAGGAAUUGUUUCCAAAAUUGGGGACAAUUGGGAAGGAAUUGUUCUGUGAGAAUGUGAGGCCCUGGCACAGGGUGCCCAGAGCAGCUGGGGCUGCCCCUGGAUCCCUGGCAGUGCCCAAGGCCAGGCUGGACACUGGGGAGCCUGGGACAGUGGGAGGUGUCCCUGCCAUGGCUGGGGUGGCACUGGGUGGGCUUAAGGUCCCUCCCAUCCCAAACCAACCUGUGAUUCCAUGAUUCUACAGCUCUAAAGGAAAAAAACCAAAGCCCAGAAAUAUUCAGCAACCUUAAUCCUGAGCAGGCUGCCGGUGCAGCCCUCAGUGCAGCUCUGAGCAUUGUGGCUGGUGCUGCUGGAAACACCAGCAGUAGCACUAUGGAGAAGUAAUUGUUCCUUCCCAUCUCUUGCUGGGCAUUAACUCAGGCACCAGUUAAUAAACUCGGUGCUGUGGUUCUCACUCUGCAACACCCCACACCAGCUGUGCUCCUCACCAAGCCCUGGCUGCCUCCCUGCUCACAAGAGGUUCGGUGGGCUUAGGAAGGAAAACUGCAAGCAAGGAGGGGUUUGAAUAACAGAGCUGAGUACUUCUUUCCUCUGACUAUUCGAGCUAUUUUUUCAUUGUGGAAACUUUACUCCAAAAUUACCUUUUCGGUGUGUGGGAAUCAGACAGAUAGCAAUUUUGAGAAUGUCUUGAGGGAGCAAGGUGAUUUGAGUGAUGAGACUCAUAAGCCUUGUAAUUACCGUAAUUAUGAGACCAUACCUCUACAGGUAAGAACUCAUAAGUAAAAACAUUAGCAUGACCAUUUAAGAAGCUCAGUAAUUCAUUCCAGGGCAUGUGGUUACAGUGCAAUGCUUAACAUAAACUUCAUGACUCUGCUGGCACUUGGCCUUGCCUCUGGAGCAUGUAUCCAUCCUCCAAGUGUGGGUCCUUUUGUCCCGUGCUGUUUGUGUGCAGACUUUUAAAUACAGCACUUACAGCUGGCCAGACCUUACCCAGCGUUUUAGACAUUGUUAGAGCUGCAGCUUUAUAAAGAAAUAGUGGAAACACUGGAGUGUUCCUGCUCAGAUUUCACUCUGAGAAAUCCAUGCUCAAAAGGAGCCCCAAACCCAGGACUUUUCUGUCCCACAUGUGCUUUAAUCUGACCCUGACCCGCUGCCUAAUGGGGUGGAUGAGCAGGAAAACUUGGCAGUGUGAAGAAAUGCCUCAUUCUUGGCCACUCUGUGCUCUCUUUUUGUUUGUUUGCUUGUUUACUUGGCACUUCAGUGCCAGGUUAUAUCUUCUGUCAGUGUGAGCAACGUCUCAAACCCUCUCAGUGAGAGAAGGUUGGUAGGGAGAAGAAAAUCUCUCCCUGAGCAGACAUGCCGAGGCAGAGAGUGCAAAAAACACAGGGCCAUUAGAUGGGAUAUUGUUAAUAUUCUUCAAAGUUUGUAUCCAUGAGCUAUAGCAUGAACUGCCAGCCACAAAGUGAUGGUAUCAUAUGGAAACUGCAGACGAUCCUUUUGAUCACAGUGUAUACAAUAUUUCUUGAAGGUGUGUGCAGGACAAGUUAGUACGGAUCACAGCUUGUUUGGGUUUUUAUUUAUACUCAUUUCCCUGAGUUUUAUUUCACUGCAUUGUUCACCACUUGCAGAUUCGAUGCUAAAAAGCAUGUUUUAUCACCCAGUGGUUUUUCCAUUUCAGUGUCACAAUUUUGUUUGGACUUUGAGUCAUUCUAGUCACACAAAGUUACUGCUCCAUGCUGAAAUCACUCAGUAUCAAUCUGUUUCAGUUACAGCUGAAAAUCAUUAUUUAUUCAAAUUUUAUCAAUGAGGAGUCAGUAUAAUACUUGCAAUCCAAUUAAAACAUGCUUGGAAAGCUAAAAAAAGAUGCAGUUUUCAAUUAAAUUUUUAAAAAAAACACUGCAUCUGUCCUCCCACAAUUCACCAUACAAAGCAAAACCAGCCUCAUAACCUUUGCAUUAUCUCUUUGUUUUUGUGCUGACCUUGCAUUAAAAGGUUGCAAUAGCUACUUUCCAGAUAAGACAAAAGGAGAAGGUUGCCCAAACAUUUCCUCACUCCAAAUUCCUCUCACACCCUGCUUUGAAAUACAGCAGCACGAGCUCUGCUCUGGUUCCACUCCUUCCCCCUCAACUCCCAGGAAGCAGUCAGUGCUCAUUACACCCUGCUCAGUUAAUUUCUUUACAGGGAAUACAACUGUACAGCCAAGGAACCUGCCGGCUCCCAUGCUCCCAUUAUUCAAGUUUACAAAGGUACAUUUUUAGAAUAUUUUCAAAGAUUAAUACAAGCCUGGUGAUGUUGCAUCCAGAAGUAUCCAGACUUAGAAGUGUAGCACACAGCAACCAUUUCCCCCUAAAACAGAAAUCAUAAAGGGCACAGAAAACAGAAUCUAGACAUUAGAAACUGUUGGAGAAUUUUUGUAAGAAACCCACAAAAAUAAACUUGGUUUGUUAGCCAAGAUCCCUAUUCUUCUCUUAUCAAACACAACCCUGUGACUACAACAGAUUUAAUCUUUCUCAUCAGCAAGCAACUCUUAAUCUUGGGGCAUUUUCUACUGCAAAUGUUACCCUGACAUAAAGACUGUCUGCUCCAGGACUGUGCAGUCAAUAUCUGCUCUGCAGCCUGGGUCUGCACCACUAGUGGGACAUAAAUGCAAACUUCAGUUUACCACCGAGUUCCUCUGCUGGCCAAAUUCACAUUUUGGAGAGCCACUGGCAUGUUAAAUCCACAUUUCACAUGCUAUUUAUUCUUAUUGCACAUACUGAGGAAUCAUGCCACAUGUAAAUGGGUGCCUGGACUAUUACUUAAGUAAUUUCCUAAUAUUGUAAAUUUUGCCACAGGAAGGGAAAAUUUAAGAUUUUGUCCACAGUGGUAACUGAAAUACUGUGUCAUGACUCAUGACAAGAACUCUGGCAGCCACUGUACCAAUAAAUAAACUGCUGCCCAAACCCAAAAUAAUUCAAAAGAUAAUAACCAUAAAUGAUGGGGGUAAAAAAAAAAAAAAAUUCAGCAAUUGUUCCUUCCAGCCUAAGAAAUUUCUCUAAUAAUUGGACAACACAAUGCGACUUUUUGCAGAAAAAUAAGUACACAUUGAGUAUUUAUUGUAGUUUAAUCCAUUAGGCACUGUUUAACUGCUUAUCCAGACCCCAUUAAUCCAGUUUUUAGCACCUUCAUUUUCAAACCUAAAUCUGUGUUGUAGCCAACCAUAAAACCAGCACACCCUCUCUGCACCAUGCCUUCAUUAGCACUCUGCUGCCAAGCAUGUAAAAACACGACAGAGACACCAGAGACCAGAUUCCAACUGCAGGCAAGGCAUUCUUGGGUUAAAACUGGCAUCAGCACCAACGUGAAAUUGCUCCUGCACAGAAUAUCACAGAGAUGGUUAUCAACUGCACUGGGGAGGAACAAAAACUUACCACGAAAACUUCAGGAAAAUGUGAAUUUCGUCUGCAUUGGCCAGGAAAGAGUUUGUUUUCCCAACUGCUUCCUCUUCUUCUCUACAACACUAUUAUUAUUAUUAUUAUUAUUAUUAUUAUUAUUAUUAUUAUUAUUAUUAUUAUUAUUAUUAUUAUUAUUUGGCACUAUUGAUAUUUUUGGAAAACUAAUCCUGUACCCAAGAGAUCUCUGUCACCUCAUCACCAUCUUCUGUAGAAGCAGUUGAGGGGUCCUGCAAAGAAGCCUCACACUUACAGACUCUGAUUAUUACAAUUUUGCCAAGAUACCACGCUCCUCAUGCUGCAUCUGGAUUAAGGAUAUGCACAAGAUGCACUUAGAAUGCAGUUAAAAUGGCAGUAAUCUCUGUGUAAGAUAUGGAACACAUUACAGUUCUGACUAGAUUUAGGACAACGCUCCUGCUGCACUGGAUUUACCUUUAGUCUCAGUGCAACACGUUCUCUACACUUUCAUUGUUAUUAAACUCGCGUUAAACAACCCUCCAGGACAUACUUAUACCUGUAAUAUUUGACAUUUUAGCCAUAUAUAACACAAUUUAUAUACAAUAUAUAUAUUUAUAAAUAAUAUGUAUAUAUGUCUUGGCUCGGUACCUGGAAACUUCUCCUCCAAUGUGGUUGCUGAUGUCUCACCUGCACUCACAGCUGGCAAAGAAGCAAACGUUCAGCAAAUUAUUACAGGAAUUCCAACUAAUUUUCCCCAAAAUACAGUUGUACUAAAUAUAAAGAUAACAAAAAAAAAAAAAAAAAGGAAAGAAAAUGAAGGAAAAAAAAAAAAGAAACAGAACUUAGGCACUAACACAGUGUUUUCUAGAAAGUUUAUAAGAUUUUUCUUGAAAGGGCACAGAGAGAUUCCUGCUUUGUGCUCAGGCAGAUCGACAUUCCAAGACACAUCAGUGAGCUUUCACUGCUACAGUUAUGACUUUUUAUUAAAAAAAACCCCAUAACACAAGUUUUUUCACCAGCUGCAAUCAAAUUAAGUUCAGAGGAGCUCAAAAAUGUUUCUGAUCAGCUCAGAAUAAGGAGGUUUGCAGGGACCUGAGGAGUCACAGACAGGUACUCCCUCCCUACCUAAAGGGAAAGAAUAACCUCUGCUAGUUUAACAUAAAUAUCUUCAGGUUGAUCUGUGACGUGUGCGCUGGAGAUUUUUAUUUUUCCUGUGGUUAGUACACAACAUACAGCCACUGUUUCAUUCACCAGGUUGGUCAGGAUGAGUCUCAGGCUGCCACAGCAAGUGAGGCUGAGCGCUGCCCGUGCUGGGUGCCAGCCCUCAGAGCCUUUCUCCUCCUCCUCCUCACACCCUGUCCCUCACCACACACACACACACACACGGGUAUCUCCAUCCAUCCAUCCAUC